rnacentral:rRNA from 1 species
GUCUCUGGCCAUAUCACCCUGAACACACCCAAACUCCUUCAAUCUCAGAAGCUAAGCAGGGUUGAGCCUGGUUAAUACUUGGACAGGAGACAUACCAGAGUGCAACUCAGCACUGUUGUUG